GAUGAACGCUGGCGGCGUGCCUAAUACAUGCAAGUCGAGCGAAUGGAUUGAGAGCUUGCUCUUAUGAAGUUAGCGGCGGACGGGUGAGUAACACGUGGGUAACCUGCCCAUAAGACUGGGAUAACUCCGGGAAACCGGGGCUAAUACCGGAUAACAUUUUGAACCGCAUGGUUCGAAAUUGAAAGGCGGCUUCGGCUGUCACUUAUGGAUGGACCCGCGUCGCAUUAGCUAGUUGGUGAGGUAACGGCUCACCAAGGCAACGAUGCGUAGCCGACCUGAGAGGGUGAUCGGGCACGCGGGGACUGAGACACGGGCCAGACUCCUACGGGAGGUAUCAGUAGGGAAUCUUCCGCAAUGGACGAAAGUCUGACGGAGCAACGCCGCGUGAGUGAUGAAGGCUUUCGGGUCGUAAAACUCUGUUGUUAGGGAAGAACAAGUGCUAGUUGAAUAAGCUGGCACCUUGACGGUACCUAACCAGAAAGCCACGGCUAACUACGUGCCAGCCGCCGCAGUAA
rnacentral:rRNA from 1 species